rnacentral:misc_RNA from 1 species
GUAGGUGAACCUGCGGAAGGAUCAUUACCGAGAUUUUUUUCCUGCUUACAGGGAAUCUCCCCACCCUUUUGUGUAUUUGAAAUUUUCAAUACUUUGGUAAAGCGCUUGUUAAGCAUACGUGUUAAGCAACCAGUGACUUCUCUUUUCCUAUUUUAAAAAAAAUAAUAAUGGAGAAAAGUGGCUGUGUCUUUGCCAAAGGAACCCUUCUACUCUUAUUUUAUAUUUUUUUUUGUCUGAGUUUAUAAUUUUUAAAAUAAAACAAAAACUUUCAACAACGGAUCUCUUGGUUCUG